rnacentral:tRNA from 1 species
CGGGAUGUAGCUCAGUUGGCUAGAGUGCAUGGUUUGGGACCAUGAGGCCCUGGGUUCGAGUCCCAGCAUCCCGACCA